CAAAAUUCCAGUUCCUGUCUUCCAGCAAUUACACUCGUCUUUAUUGUUUCCAGUUCUUGUUUUUGUCUAUUGGAAUCAUCUUUCUUGAGUUCUAGUUUAUCUUGUUUUAAGAUAAUAAUGUCCAUGUUGACCUUUAACCUGUCUUUUUCUGCAUCAAGCUUAAGGAUCAAAUCCUUAAUGUAGCCUCUCGCUCUGUUUAUCUCAAUAAACAUAUUUUCUCCGAGUUCUUUCUGUUUAUGAAUCUCAAUCUUUGUGGUUUCCAGUUCGAAUUGCUCCCUCUUUAUAUCUCGUUUAUCUUGUUCUAAUAUGUGUCUUUGUUUCAGAAUGUCACACUUCAUCAGCUCCAAGUCCAGUUUUUCUGUCUUCAUUUUCUCACUCUCUCUGUCGAGGUCAUUUCUUUCUUGCCUUAAUUCUGCCUUCAGUUUGGUCACAUAUUCUUUGAACACCUCAAAUUUCUGCUUCCUUUGGCAUUGAAUGUUGUCUCUUUGGAUGACCAUGUCUGACAGUAUACUUAUCAGACUUUUCUUUUCCCUCUCCAUCAGCUCGGUGGAAAAAGCCACACUUUCUUUGUGUACAUUUAGAGCUGCAAGCUUUUUGUUUCAAUUCAGUGUACAGCUCUACUACAUCUUCACUAUGUAGUUGUAAUUUUUUCCUCUUUUCUUUCUUGUCUUCCCUCAUCCUUUUAGUCAGCGUUUUAAGUUGUCCUUUAAAAGUUUCCAUUAAUUUCAUUUCAUUCAAGAGAUGAGCUUCUCUUAUUUUCAGUUCAGACCUUUCUCCUUCCAAUCUGACCUUCUCAUUGUCCAACCUGUGUCUGUCCAUGUCAGCACUACUCUUCAUCUGACUGAGUUGUUCUUUCUCUCCAUUGAUGGAGUUAAUAGCAGCUCCAAUCUCUUCUUUCUUCUUGGUGAGAUCCUCCCUCCAAAGUUCCAGUUCCUGUCUUCCAGCCAUUACACUCGUCUUUAUUGUUUCCAGUUCUUGUUUUUGUCUAUUGGAAUCAUCUUUCUUGAGUUCUAGUUUAUCUUGUUUUAAGAUAAUAAUGUCCAUGUCGAUCUUUAACUUGUCUUUUUCUGCAUCAAGCUUAAGGAUCAAAUCCUUAAUGUAGCCUCUCGCUCUGUUUAUCUCAAUAAACAUAUUUUCUCUGCGUUCUUUCUGUUUAUGAAUCUCAAUUUUUGUGGUUUCCAGUUCGAAUUGCUCCCUCUUUAUAUCUUGUUGCUCUUGUUCUAAUAUGUCUCUUUGUUUCAGAAUGUCACACUUCAUCAGCUCCAAGUCCAGUUUUUCUGUCGUCAUCAUCUCACUCUCUCUGUCGAGAUGAUUUCUUUCUUGCCUUAAUUCUGCCUUCA
ensembl:lncRNA